CAUGGCUAACCCAGUCAUGCCUCCUCCCAGAUCUGUGAAAGGUAGAAAAGCAAAAGAAGCUGAUUCCAGGCUCAACACACCGUUUCUUGUUUAAUCACCGUCCAUUCUGGACUUCAUUCACCAGGAAGGAUCCUCUGAGCACGUCGAUCCACCCUUGUCUCGCUAACACUUCAUUUAUUUAGAAGAUUACGAAACAAAAAAAGAAAUGAGUGCAGGCUUUGGGUUCUUGGGAACAAGAGUUCUGGGACUCUUGACAGGAGUUUAUGAUCAGAACACACUCACCCGGGCAGAAAGCUUCAGACAAUUAAAGUGAUUGUUUAACAUACUCUGUUGGCUUCAAAUUCCAAAGUAGAUUGGACCAUACCUACUAUUUGCCCUGCUCCGGCUCCUGGAGUAUGAACCACCUAAGGACAUGUUAGGCAUCCUUGUUGUCUGUGCAUAGAAACCAGUGACCUUUCAUCAGGCCCUCAGCUCCUAAGCAAGAGGGUAACAAACUGAAAGGGCGUGGAAGCCUUUUGUAUCUGCCUGUGGACCAGGGGAACAGCAAGCAUCCUGCACCCAUUUCUUGUGUCCGCUGGAGAAUGAACUGGGCGCCAGCUUCUAUAUAAAGAAACAACUUAGCUCCACGGUAGAAGCUGUGCGCAGCAGAACGGAGCCGGGAGAAGAACUGUCCCUUCCAUGGAGUAUGAAGGUUGGUAUGCUGGCCUAUCUGCCCGGAACUUUCUGGGCAGCUUUAUUAAUUCACUGGGAAUGUAACGCUAUCUACCCUAGACUUUAAGUGUUACACAGUAGGAAAACUCCAGGAUUGUUCAAGCUGAUUCUUUUUUUUUUCUUUUUUUCUUUCUUCUUUCUUUUUUUUUUUGAUUGGAUGUUUACAUUUCAAAUGUUCUCCCCCUUCCAGGUCUCCCUUUCUGAAACACCCUAUGCCAUUCCCCCUCCCCCUGCCUCUAUGAGGGUGCUCCCCGACCCACCCACUCCCAUCUUCCUGCCCUGCCAUUCC
rnacentral:lncRNA from 1 species